GAUGAACGCUGGCGGCGUGCCUAAUACAUGCAAGUCGAGCGAACAGACGAGGAGCUUGCUCCUCUGACGUUAGCGGCGGACGGGUGAGUAACACGUGGAUAACCUACCUAUAAGACUGGGAUAACUUCGGGAAACCGGAGCUAAUACCGGAUAAUAUAUUGAACCGCAUGGUUCAAUAGUGAAAGACGGUUUUGCUGUCACUUAUAGAUGGAUCCGCGCCGCAUUAGCUAGUUGGUAAGGUAACGGCUUACCAAGGCAACGAUGCGUAGCCGACCUGAGAGGGUGAUCGGCAACACUGGAACUGAGACACGGUCCAGACUCCUACGGGAGGCAGCAGUAGGGAAUCUUCCGCAAUGGGCGAAAGCCUGACGGAGCAACGCCGCGUAAGUGAUGAAGGUCUUCGGAUCGUAAAACUCUGUUAUUAGGGAAGAACAAAUGUGUAAGUAACUAUGCACGUCUUGACGGUACCUAAUCAGAAAGCCACGGCUAACUACGUG
rnacentral:rRNA from 1 species